rnacentral:lncRNA from 1 species
AGUACUCUAAAGCAAUUUCGUUGUUCCUACAGUUUAAGAAUACACAAUCUACUCAACAACACACAUACUAAAAGUACCUGCAGCGAAGUACCUCAAAAAUAAACUCCCUGUAUUUUUUCACUCGGGUGUUACCCCAAGUAAUACUAGGAGCACCGGAAAUAAUACGCUCGAUCACCAUACAAGCAAAAGGACCAGAUGAACUAGAAUUCCUUCUGAGAGAACUGCUCAUCC